GAUGAACGCUGACAGCAUGCUUAACACAUGCAAGUCUUUGGCGAAUCUGUGCUUGCACAGGCUAGCCAAGGCGGACGGGUGAGUAACGCGUAAAGAACUUGCCCUGCAGACAGGGAUAACAGACGGAAACGACUGAUAACACCUGAUACAGUUGCCGGCACGCAUGUGCCUGGCAAUGAAAAGAGAUGCUGCAGGAGAGCUUUGGGUCCUAUUAGCUUGUUGGUGAGGUGACGGCUCAACAAGGCGAUGAUAGGUAGCCGGCCUGAGAGGGUGAACGGCCACAAGGGGACUGAGAUACGGCCCUUACUCCUGGGGGAGGGAGGAGUGGGGAAUAUUGGACAAUGGGGGCAACCCUGAUCCAGCAAUUCUGUGUGCAAGAAGAAGGUUUUCGGAUUGUAAAGUGCUUUCAGCAGAGGAGAAGAAAGUGACGGUACCUGCAGAAGAAGCGACGGCUAAAUACGUG
rnacentral:rRNA from 1 species